GUAAGAUAGCUCAGUCAGUAAAACAUAAAACUCUUGAUCUCAGGGUCUUGGGUUCAAGCCCCAACUUGGGCA